ACUGAGACCGGAGUCCCACCCUGACACGGUGCUUGUUCGGGUGUGCUAGCUUUCUCAAAGAGCAUCUGCUGGUCUUGACUCUCUGGCAGGGGCCUUUAGUGUCCAUCUUAGUUCCCAGAUCAGAAACAUGU
ensembl:snoRNA